rnacentral:rRNA from 1 species
CGACAGAGGGUGCAAACGUUGUUCGGAAUUACUGGGCGUAAAGCGCGUGUAGGCUGUUCUGCAAGUCGGGUGUGAAAGCCCAGGGCUCAACCCUGGAAGUGCACUCGAAACUGCAAGACUUGAAUCUCGGAGAGGGUGGCGGAAUUCUGGGUGUAGAGGUGAAAUUCGUAGAUAUCCAGAGGAACACCGGCGGCGAAGGCGGCCACCUGGACGAGUAUUGACGCUGAGACGCGAAAGCGUGGGGAGCAAACAGGAUUAGAAACCCUAGUAGUCC